UAAGAAUUGGGGCAAACUCGCGGAAACGCGGGGACGCAAAGCUACGGGUCUACGGGAUAUCAUCCUAUGAUGGCCGGGUUGCACUC
rnacentral:ncRNA from 1 species